AGAGUUUGAUCCUGGCUCAGGAUGAACGCUAGCUACAGGCUUAACACAUGCAAGUCGAGGGGCAGCGCGGCGGAAGCUUGCUUCCGCUGGCGGCGACCGGCGCACGGGUGCGUAACGCGUAUCCAACUUGCCCUUGUCCCGGGGAUAGCCUCGCGAAAGCGAGAAUAAUACCCGGUGUAGCCACGUUUCCGCAUGGAAUUGUGGCGAUAGGUCCGCCGGACAAGGAUAGGGAUGCGUCCCAUUAGGCAGUAGGCGGGGUAACGGCCCACCUAACCGACGAUGGGUAGGGGUUCUGAGAGGAAGGUCCCCCACAUUGGAACUGAGACACGGUCCAAACUCCUACGGGAGGCAGCAGUGAGGAAUAUUGGUCAAUGGGCGCGAGCCUGAACCAGCCAAGUAGCGUGCAGGAAGACGGCCCUAUGGGUUGUAAACUGCUUUUGCAGGAGGAUAAUAUGUCCCACGUGUGGGAUAUUGCAGGUAUCCUGCGAAUAAGGACCGGCUAAUUCCGUGCCAGCAGCCGCGGUAAUACGGAAGGUCCGGGCGUUAUCCGGAUUUAUUGGGUUUAAAGGGAGCGUAGGCGGGAGAUCAAGUCAGUUGUGAAAAGCAGCCGCUCAACGGUUGUCGUGCAGUUGAUACUGGUUUUCUUGAGUGCGCGCGAGGAUGGUGGAAUUUGUGGUGUAGCGGUGAAAUGCUUAGAUAUCACAAAGAACUCCGAUUGCGAAGGCAGCUGUCCGGAGCGCAACUGACGCUGAGGCUCGAAGGUGCGGGUAUCAAACAGGAUUAGAUACCCUGGUAGUCCGCACGGUAAACGAUGGAUGCUAGUGGUCGGCGACAGACAGUCGGUCACCGAGCGAAAGCGUUAAGCAUCCCACCUGGGGAGUACGCCGGCAACGGUGAAACUCAAAGGAAUUGACGGGGGCCCGCACAAGCGGAGGAACAUGUGGUUUAAUUCGAUGAUACGCGAGGAACCUUACCCGGGCUUGAAUUGCAGCUGCAUGGAGCAGAGAUGUUCCUUCCCUUCGGGGCUGCUGUGAAGGUGCUGCAUGGUUGUCGUCAGCUCGUGCCGUGAGGUGUCGGCUUAAGUGCCAUAACGAGCGCAACCCUUUUCCCCGGUUGCCAUCAGGUAAUGCUGGGCACUCCGAGGAUACUGCCGCCGCAAGGCGUGAGGAAGGUGGGGAUGACGUCAAAUCAGCACGGCCCUUACGUCCGGGGCUACACACGUGUUACAAUGGGGGAUACAGAGCGUUGCCACCCGGUGACGGGGCGCUAAUCGUGAAACUCCCUCCCAGUUCGGACUGGAGUCUGCAACCCGACUCCACGAAGCUGGAUUCGCUAGUAAUCGCGCAUCAGCCAUGGCGCGGUGAAUACGUUCCCGGGCCUUGUACACACCGCCCGUCAAGCCAUGAAAGCCGGGAGUGCCUGAAAGCCGUGACCGCGAGGGUCGGUCUAGGGUAAGACCGGUGAUUGGGGCUAAGUCGUAACAAGGUAGCCGUACCGGAAGGUGCGGCUG
rnacentral:rRNA from 1 species